AGGAAGUUAAGGGUUAACAUUUGAAAUUUCGCAAAGGACUUUUUUCAAACUUUCUUAUACUUAUAGAAUUUUCAAAAUUAUUCGCUAUCUCCUCUCCUCCAAUGGCUACAAGUAAGUACGUUGAUCGGCAUAAUCGCGUGCAACCUUGAGGAUCCAAAACGGAAAGCACGCCUUCAUCAAUCUAGGGUUCGAUUAGAGGUAAAGGAAUGAGGGCCUUCGACUUCAACAUCGCGCUCAACAAUCUCGAGAAGUACGUUUUCCGCGAACACGUGAAGGAAUCUGGCAACUCCGCCGCUGUCGAAGAGUAUCAGAUCGACAUACAUCCUGUUGUUAACGCUUUCAUCCACGGACAAUGAUGACAUGGAUCGUUCCUCCACUGCCUUUACCUCCUUCAUCCACAACGAAAUCAGCCUUGGCAACGCCAAGGAGCAAAUUCUGCCUUCGGCCUCGAUUCAUAUGACUUGAAAUAACACUUGGAGCAGCCUAAGGGUGAACUUAUAUUCAUGAAGAAUUAGAAAUUCAGGUUAGAGUUUAAUAAAUAUGAUUAUAAAUUAUUCUUGCUAUGAUCAUUCAUUGCUCAAGGGUGAACUUAUCUUCAUGAGGAAUUAUAAAUUCAUUGUUAUGAUCAUACAAAUAGUGAAAUACAAUAUGGUUUCAGCCUUGAAAAAUAGUCAAACAUAUUUUUCCUUGUGAGUUUCUAUUGAAGUCAUUUAUAACUGUCAUUUGUUAGACAACUAUAAUUGACCUCUUAGUUGGUAUUCUGCAGUAUAUAUAGACAUUGUAACAGAAGUUCCUCAUUUAUGAAAAUUUUUCCUUUGAUACAAAGCAAUAUAUGGAUUUUGGUUCCUUUAGUUAGCAUUAUCUUGUUGGAUUUUGAAUUUGGUAUAUUUCUAUUUCCUUGCUAUAUUUUUUUCUGGUAGUUUGGCUAUACUUAUGUUUAGUUCUUUUAUAAUUUAUCAAAUUAUAGCACUUAGGAAAUGCAGAAGACAGGAUAGAAUACUUUGUCUCUAAACCAAUACUUAAAAAAUAUUAAAGUGUAUUGUAUCUAACAAAUGUUUGAUGAAGUUGUUUUAUUAGUGCUCAAUUGUUUCUGUUUAUUGAUGACAUGUUAAACUCUGAGCCUUUCUACGUGAAGGGAGUUGAACAAUUUCGACAAGCUUCAGAGAUUUCACUAUAGUGUGUGCCUGCACAAUAUGGACUUGGUUUGGCAAAAGACUACAUAAUCUAGGAGCAUAUAGAUGGGUGGUUUCACUGUUAGAGGCAGGGAAGCAUGGAGUUUCUCUUCUCUUAGCCCAACACAAAGCCAAACACAUAUCUUCUAUCUUGUUCUACUUAGGUUGCUAUAAUUGAGGAAUGACCAUUGAAACCAAACAGGGGAAAGAGUUCAUUUUCAGGUCCAAGCUUAUUAAUUCCAAAAUUUGUGGGACAGUCUUUGCCCCCACGAGAACGGUCUACAACUACUCUAAAUUGUUGUCCUGAUGAUGGCCAAGAUUGAUAAGUAUGAAAAAUACUUAUUAUUCUUAUUUUAUUGGACCUCUUAAUUGUACUUAAUCAUGUGUUUUGUGGGAAGUUUUAGGUUGUUUUUAGGUUAGAUAUAUUUUGUUAUCUUUGAGAUUAUUGUAUAGGAAAGUGAAGGAUUGGAGAAGAAGUGAGGUUAUUCUGUCAGGACCCAGUCGCCCAGCGAAAUGGACCAGUCGCCCAGUGAGUGUGCUCUUUCGCCCAACGAGUAAUCACCGGUCGCCCAGCGAGUAAGUCAUCUCGCCCAGCGAGAAGACGGUUUUCUGAAGUGGUUAUAGUUUCGAAAAGUUACACGAAACUGUGUGCUGGAGUGUGGGAACGCGAUAGAACCAGAAAGGAGACGAAAAAGCACCAUUCUAGGGCAAGGAGACUUCACAACAAUUCAUCAAUUCCAUCAAAUUCAUCCAUCUUUUGUUCUAGAUGCUUAGGAGUGACUAAACUCCUCCUUCAUUAGGGUUGGAUGUAAUGAACCUAUACUCUUUGUAAUUUUCCUAUGCAAUGUAACCUCUUUCGUUGUUCAUAUGUUUUAUCUCAAUUAUAAAUGUGCUUGAUGUAAAUCUUUGCUAUUUGGUUGUAUCUAAUUAUUGGAAAAUGAAUUGGAACUUAACCUUGGAUAGAACAACCAUGAGAUUGGGUUCUAGGAAUAGACGUAAUCUCUAGGUCAUUCUAUACAUCAAAUCUUAAUGUAAGUCAUGUGUUAAAAUAGUUAAGGAAUUAAUAUUUUGACAUAUUUGACUUAGAACUUACUUCUAAGGAAUUAGGGGUUAGUAAGCUUAUGAUGAGGAUGUUUGAGCACGAUAGAGAAAUUGUGUAGGAAAUAUUGCGUUAGUAUGGUUCAUGAAAUCCAACCUUGAUGAAGUGUUUCUUAAAUCCUUUUAUAACUUUAGU